rnacentral:rRNA from 1 species
AGAGUUUGAUCCUGGCUCAGGACGAACGCUGGCGGCGUGCUUAACACAUGCAAGUCGAGCGAGGCCCUCCUUCGGGGGGUGCCCUAGCGGCGAACGGGUGAGUAACACGUGGGCAACCUGCCCUCAGCUCUGGGAUAACUCCAAGAAAUUGGUGCUAAUACCGGAUGUGACCGCUGACCGCAUGGUCUGGUGGUGGAAAGAUUCAUCGGCUGAGGAUGGGCCCGCGGCCUAUCAGCUUGUUGGUGGGGUAAUGGCCCACCAAGGCGACGACGGGUAGCCGGCCUGAGAGGGUGACCGGCCACACUGGGACUGAGACACGGCCCAGACUCCUACGGGAGGCAGCAGUGGGGAAUAUUGCGCAAUGGGCGAAAGCCUGACGCAGCGACGCCGCGUGAGGGAUGACGGCCUUCGGGUUGUAAACCUCUUUCAGUAGGGACGAAGCGAAAGUGACGGUACCUACAGAAGAAGCACCGGCCAACUACGUGCCAGCAGCCGCGGUAAUACGUAGGGUGCAAGCGUUGUCCGGAAUUAUUGGGCGUAAAGAGCUCGUAGGCGGUCUGUCACGUCGGCUGUGAAAACCCGAGGCUCAACCUCGGGCCUGCAGUCGAUACGGGCAAACUAGAGUACUGCAGGGGAGACUGGAAUUCCUGGUGUAGCGGUGAAAUGCGCAGAUAUCAGGAGGAACACCGGUGGCGAAGGCGGGUCUCUGGGCAGUAACUGACGCUGAGGAGCGAAAGCGUGGGGAGCGAACAGGAUUAGAUACCCUAGUAGUCC